UACGAAGGGGGCUAGCGUUGCUCGGAAUUAUUGGGCGUAAAGGGUGCGUAGGCGGUUUGGUAAGUCUGAUGUGAAAUCUAUGGGCUCAACUCAUAGUCUGCAUCGGAAACUGCCGGGCUUGAGUGUGGGAGAGGUGAGUGGAAUUCCUGGUGUAGCGGUGAAAUGCGUAGAUAUCAGGAGGAACACCUGUGGCGAAAGCGGCUCACUGGACCAUAACUGACGCUGAUGCACGAAAGCUAGGGGAGCAAACAGG
rnacentral:rRNA from 1 species